rnacentral:rRNA from 1 species
UUGACCUCGGAUCAGGUAGGAAUACCCGCCUGAAACUUAA